ensembl:snRNA U6 U6 spliceosomal RNA
AUGCUUGUUUCAGCAGCACAUAUACUGAAAUUGAAUCAGUACAGAGAAGACAGCAAGGUCCCUGUGCAAGGAUGACACAUAGAAUUAAUUUGAAUAAUAAUUUAUU